rnacentral:rRNA from 2 species
GAUGAACGCUGGCGGCGUGCCUAAUACAUGCAAGUCGAGCGAACUGAUUAGAAGCUUGCUUCUAUGACGUUAGCGGCGGACGGGUGAGUAACACGUGGGCAACCUGCCUGUAAGACUGGGAUAACUUCGGGAAACCGAAGCUAAUACCGGAUAGGAUCUUCUCCUUCAUGGGAGAUGAUUGAAAGAUGGUUUCGGCUAUCACUUACAGAUGGGCCCGCGGUGCAUUAGCUAGUUGGUGAGGUAACGGCUCACCAAGGCAACGAUGCAUAGCCGACCUGAGAGGGUGAUCGGCCACACUGGGACUGAGACACGGCCCAGACUCCUACGGGAGGCAGCAGUAGGGAAUCUUCCGCAAUGGACGAAAGUCUGACGGAGCAACGCCGCGUGAGUGAUGAAGGCUUUCGGGUCGUAAAACUCUGUUGUUAGGGAAGAACAAGUACGAGAGUAACUG